CAUUUGAAGGAUCCUACCGUUAAAAAGUGGAUUACUGCAAGCCUAAACUGUUCCGAAGAAAAUAGAAAAGCUAUUGGGCUUCUAGUACUACCGUACUUAUUUCCCUCAACAAAAAUAAAGGCCAGGCAAGGAAAACAAAGUUUUAAGGCGUCAAAACUUGAAAUUCAAGAAAAAUUUAUUCUAUAUUUCGAAACUUUGGGAAAAGCUGAUGACUUCGAAAGACAGUUAUUAAAUAGCAAUGUCGGACUACAACCACGAAUUAUAUUUGUGGGAGAAUUUAAUUGUUUGAAGGCGUAUGUAACGCUAACGGAUAAAAAAUAUGCCUUUGAGAAUCCUCUUGAUGCUGUCCAACAAUGUUUCUAUAUGUAUCAGGCAUAACAUAUAAAAUAUCCUGCUGAAAGCACGUCCGUGUGGACUUUCAUUCAAAUCUACAUCUUUAAUGUCAAAACCAAAUUUGACCAAGUAUCGUCCAGCAUAAAGUCGAUUUGGAGAAGUCUAAAAAAGUAAAUAUUAUAUUAAGAUAUUGUAUGCAUGACUUAUUAGAAGGAGUUUGUCAUUAUGACCUUAGAAAUGUUUUAAAGUACCUUAUCUUAAAAUAUAAUUUUUUUCCUGUGCAACAACUCGAAUAGAAAUAUUCAACUUUGGUCGAUAACACAAAAAUCACCUCUUUUGUAUCUAUUUUUAAGAGACAUCACAUUAAUUCAACUGAAUUUUUGAGGAAAAUAAACACCAAACUUUCAAAAAAUGUGGUUUUACUCCAAGAAAAAGAAUAAAUAAACUUAAACAUCAAUUCAAAAUUUAAAAUUUAUUAUUAAAUGAAAACGAAAUUUUUUUAAAUUUUUACGAUUAUGGCCCAACUUUUCAGUUAAAAUCAUCUGAAUUUUUUAAAUUCAAUUUCAAAUCAUCGGAUAAUAUUUUGAAAGUUUAAUUUGUAAUUCUUUAAGGUAUUUUAUAAAAAGAGAAAUCGGUUGUAGUUAUAGGACUGUAAGAAAAUAAUGAUGUAAAAGCAAAUAAAACAUUUCAUUUGCGUUUAUCAUAUAUAGAGACUAUUUGUUUCGACAAUAAUUAUUUUGCUUACAAAAUUAAAAAAAAAAAUAAUUUGUUUUCAGUUUUCGAUCUAGAGCUUCUUCAAUACUUUCAUACUUCUUGUAAAC